GUCUCUUCAAAGACAUCCGAUAAAAUUGGAAUGAUAUAGAGAAGAUUAGCAUGGCCCCUAUGCAAGGAUGACACGCAUAAAUCGAGAAAUGGUUCAAAUUUUU